rnacentral:lncRNA from 1 species
AUAGAGCAGACGGAUAGAAAGGCUGCCUGGCAUCCUGGAAUACCUGGGGAAUUCCACUCAGAAAACAAACAUGUUACUCUUUAAUGUAGACUCACAUCUCAUUAUAAAAUCACAAGUGGAAUGAGACACACUUCGCCUUUGUAACUGUGUUGCCAGGAGGCAGACUUCAUCAAAUAAAUGGACAGACUAACACAGCUGCCAUAAUGUCAGCCAUUGGAAUUUCAUUAGCAAACACACACUUCUGAUGAGCAGAAUAACAAAUGAGAUA